UCUAUAACUCGAGAUAUGGGCUGAACACUGAAUAGUGUCUGGGCUACAGGACAGAUUUCGACUUCUCCGUUGUUGCUAUCAUUUGAACUCGAAAAUGACACUUUUAAAUCUUGAACUCUCAUUAAAGUUUUAGGCCUAUGUGUUAGCUUUCCAUA
rfam:Populus trichocarpa scaffold_1_contig_552, whole genome shotgun sequence.